UAGAGUGAUGAGAAGAAUUUAGUACAUAUUUAAUCAGUCAUAAAACUGAUCAAACAAAGCUCCACUGUGGCCACAGUAGGUUUCAGGCAUCUGAAACAAAGAUGAAGAAAUGAGGCAGCUGAAAUCAUACAGGCAUGUGUACUACAUUGCUCUUGUGAAACUGUCCAGGGUGCCAAAGAGCCGAGACUGAUGGUGACAGUGCUGGUAAUAAUAUCAAUAAACAUAUAACUGCUGCAGGCCAUUGGGCAAAGAUAGCCUGAAAAAUGGCAAAAAGUCUUGUGGCAGACCUAAUACCUGUCACAUUGGCAGCUUUUGUGGUUGCUUUUCUGAAACUUUGUUAUUACAAUUGGUGAACUUCCCCACUGAACAGAGGAGGACAUAUAAGUCCGGGUUAGUAUACUUACCGUAGCAACUAACAAGAAGAUACUUUGCUUUCAGAUGUAAUGAUGUUAAAUUAAUUUGUUUUAUUCACAUGGGAACUGCCUUCAAUGCCAUUUUAUAGCUGCUCAAGCCAAUAUUCAGGCUUUGUUUUUCUUGGCCUUUGCUAAGAGUGCUGUGAACCUCCAGGCAGAACGAAGUAAGCGGUGCUGGGGUUUAUUUUCCCUUGCUUUCUUCUCUCUUCUUCAGUUCUCCCAUAUCCGCUGACAAUAGAAAUGGUUU